AAACUGGGAUUAGAUACCCCACUAUGCUUAGCCCUAAACCUCGAUAGCUUCCAACAAAGCUACCCGCCAGAGAACUACUAGCAAAAGCUUAAAACUCAAAGGACUUGACGGUGCUUCACAUCCCCCUAGAGGAGCCUGUCCCAUAAUCGAUAAACCCCGAUAAACCUCACCCCCACUUGCUAAUUCAGCCUAUAUACCGCCAUCUUCAGCCAACCCUUAAAAGGUGCAAAAGUAAGCUCAAUGAUAGCCAUAAAAAAGUUAGGUCAAGGUGUAGCCCAUGUGGAGGUCUAAGAUGGGCUACAUUUUCUCUUAGAGAACAAUCAACCAACGGACGUCACUAUGAAACAAGUGACCAAAGGAGGAUUUAGCAGUAAAUUAAGAAUAGAGAGCUUAAUUGAACUAGGCCAUGAAGCACGCACACACCGCCCGUCACCCUC
rnacentral:rRNA from 1 species